rnacentral:rRNA from 1 species
UGGGGAAUUUUGGACAAUGGGCGCAAGCCUGAUCCAGCAAUGCCGCGUGCAGGAUGAAGGCCUUCGGGUUGUAAACCGCUUUUGUCAGGGAAGAAACGAGUUUCUCUAAUACAGAGACUUAAUGACGGUACCUGAAGAAUAAGCACCGGCUAACUACGUGCCAGCAGCCGCGGUAAUACGUAGGGUGCGAGCGUUAAUCGGAAUUACUGGGCGUAAAGCGUGCGCAGGCGGUUAUAUAAGACAGAUGUGAAAUCCCCGGGCUCAACCUGGGACCUGCAUUUGUGACUGUAUAGCUGGAGGGCGGCAGAGGGGGAUGGAAUUCCGCGGGUAGCAGUGAAAUGCGUAGAUAUGCGGAGGAACACCGAUGGCGAAGGCAAUCCCCUGGGCCUGCACUGACGCUCAUGCACGAAAGCGUGGGGAGCAAACA